rnacentral:rRNA from 1 species
GACGAACGCUGGCGGCGUGCUUAACACAUGCAAGUCGUACGGUAAGGCCCUUUCGGGGGUACACGAGUGGCGAACGGGUGAGUAACACGUGAGUAACCUGCCCACAACUUUGGGAUAACGCUAGGAAACUGGUGCUAAUACUGGAUAUGUGCCCCUGCUGCAUGGUGGGGGUUGGAAAGCUCCGGCGGUUGUGGAUGGACUCGCGGCCUAUCAGCUUGUUGGUGGGGUAGUGGCCUACCAAGGCGGGGACGGGUAGCCGGCCUGAGAGGGUGACCGGCCACAUUGGGACUGAGAUACGGCCCAGACUCCUACGGGAGGCAGCAGUGGGGAAUAUUGCACAAUGGGCGCUAGCCUGAUGCAGCAACGCCGCGUGCGGGAUGACGGCCUUCGGGUUGUAAACCGCUUUCAGCAGGGACGAAGCUUUUUGUGACGGUACCUGCAGAAGAAGCACCGGCUAACUACGUG